GGACGAACGCUGGCGGCGUGCUUAACACAUGCAAGUCGAACGGAAAGGCCCUGCUUUUGUGGGGUGCUCGAGUGGCGAACGGGUGAGUAACACGUGAGUAACCUGCCCUUGACUUUGGGAUAACUUCAGGAAACUGGGGCUAAUACCGGAUAGGAGCUCCUGCUGCAUGGUGGGGGUUGGAAAGUUUCGGCGGUUGGGGAUGGACUCGCGGCUUAUCAGCUUGUUGGUGGGGUAGUGGCUUACCAAGGCUUUGACGGGUAGCCGGCCUGAGAGGGUGACCGGCCACAUUGGGACUGAGAUACGGCCCAGACUCCUACGGGAGGCAGCAGUGGGGAAUAUUGCACAAUGGGCGGAAGCCUGAUGCAGCAACGCCGCGUGCGGGAUGACGGCCUUCGGGUUGUAAACCGCUUUCGCCUGUGACGAAGCGUGAGUGACGGUAAUGGGUAAAGAAGCACCGGCUAACUACGUGCCAGCAGCCGCGGUGAUACGUAGGGUGCGAGCGUUGUCCGGAUUUAUUGGGCGUAAAGGGCUCGUAGGUGGUUGAUCGCGUCGGAAGUGUAAUCUUGGGGCUUAACCCUGAGCGUGCUUUCGAUACGGGUUGACUUGAGGAAGGUAGGGGAGAAUGGAAUUCCUGGUGGAGCGGUGGAAUGCGCAGAUAUCAGGAGGAACACCAGUGGCGAAAGGCGGUUCUCUGGGCCUUUCCUGACGCUGAGGAGCGAAAGCGUGGGGAGCGAACAGGCUUAGAUACCCUGGUAGCCCACGCUGUAAACGGUGGGUACUAGGUGUGGGGUCCAUUCCACGGGUUCCGUGCCGUAGCUAACGCUUUAAGUACCCCGCCUGGGGAGUACGGCCGCAAGGCUAAAACUCAAAGGAAUUGACGGGGCCCCGCACAAGCGGCGGAGCAUGCGGAUUAAUUCGAUGCAACGCGUAGAACCUUACCUGGGUUUGACAUGGAUCGGGAGCGCUCAGAGAUGGGUGUGCCUCUUUUGGGGUCGGUUCACAGGUGGUGCAUGGCUGUCGUCAGCUCGUGUCGUGAGAUGUUGGGUUAAGUCCCGCAACGAGCGCAACCCUUGUUCACUGUUGCCAGCACGUUAUGGUGGGGACUCAGUGGAGACCGCCGGGGUCAACUCGGAGGAAGGUGGGGAUGACGUCAAGUCAUCAUGCCCCUUAUGUCCAGGGCUUCACGCAUGCUACAAUGGCUGGUACAGAGAGUGGCGAGCCUGUGAGGGUGAGCGAAUCUCGGAAAGCCGGUCUCAGUUCGGAUUGGGGUCUGCAACUCGACCUCAUGAAGUCGGAGUCGCUAGUAAUCGCAGAUCAGCAACGCUGCGGUGAAUACGUUCCCGGGGCUUGUACACACCGCCCGUCAAGUCAUGAAAGUUGGUAACACCCGAAGCCGGUGGCCUAACCGUUGUGGGGGAGCCGUCGAAGGUGGGACUGGUGAUUAGG
rnacentral:rRNA from 1 species